rnacentral:tRNA from 1 species
GCACUAGUAGCUCAGUUGGAUAGAGCAGUGCCCUUCUAAGGCAAAGGUCAGGGGUUCGAAUCCCUUCUGGUGCACCA